UACAGAGGGGGCUAGCGUUGUUCGGAAUUACUGGGCGUAAAGGGCGCGUAGGUGGCCUGUUAAGUCGAACGUGAAAUCCCCGGGCUCAACCCGGGAACUGCGUCCGAGACUGGCAGGCUCGAAUCCGGGAGAGGGAUGUGGAAUUCCAGGUGUAGCGGUGAAAUGCGUAGAUAUCUGGAGGAACACCGGUGGCGAAGGCGGCAUCCUGGACCGGCAUUGACGCUGAGGCGCGAAAGCCAGGGGAGCAAACGGG
rnacentral:rRNA from 1 species